CCUACGGGGGGCUGCAGUAAGGAAUAUUGGUCAAUGGAGGCAACUCUGAACCAGCCAUGCCGCGUGCAGGAAGACGGCCCUAUGGGUUGUAAACUGCUUUUGCACCAGAGAAAACCCGAGUACGUGUACUCGGUUGAUAGUAUGGUGAGAAUAAGCAUCGGCUAACUUCGUGCCAGCAGCCGCGGUAAGACGAAGGAUGCAAGCGUUAUCCGGAUUCAUUGGGUUUAAAGCGGACUGAGGCGGCAGGGUAGAAAUCUCUCGGCUUAACCGAGAAACUGCCAUUGAUACUGUUAGUCUAGAGUAUAGAUGACGUUGGCGGAAUAUGACAUGUAGUGGUGAAAUACUUAGAUAUGUCAUAGAACACCGAUUGCGAAGGCAGCUAACGAAACUAUAACUGACGCUGAGGCACGAAAGUGCGGGGAUCAAACAGGAUUAGAUACCCGUGUAGUC
rnacentral:rRNA from 1 species